AUGUAGAAGCAGAAAAAGGGCCUAAAAUCUACAAAUCCUGGUCUUUUGAAACUGGGACAAUAAAAUGUAGAUGGUGCGGUGUGGGGAUUUAUACAGUGUGUAGCUAUUGUAGCCAGAUGUGCGUGAUUUCUGUUUACGUUUUUAUUGUACAAAAUGUUCGUCCCUUUCAGAACUGUACACUGCAUCUCCAUGGGCUGAGAGUGCGGUCCUAUACAUGUCAACUCAUUGAGUUAAGUGGGACUUACUCCCAGGUAAGUGUAUAAGAUUGUAGCCUGAGAUAUUUUCAUUGCAGUGAUUACCAUUGCAGGUGGAAUCUAGUGAAUUGUCAGAGAACAACAAACGUUCCAGCAUUGCUGAAGACCUGAUCAGUAAUGCUGACUUUGUAUGCUGCUUUUACAUGAUUCUCCCAGAUUACUGAUCAUCUGGGAUUGUCCUCUCAGCAGCACAGUUCAAGCAUGACUGCAGCUUGUAUUACUAAAACAACAUAGUCAAAACCUUUCAUGAUACUGUCUCUAGCACUGCAGGUGGAAGCUCAAUCCACCAUGUGUAGACCAGAAAGCAUUUUUGUCGAGCAACCAGCUUCAUCUGAUUUAUCACAGCCAGACAUUUGUACAGACUUGGAACUCUUGCAGAGCGACACACAUGAGAGAGGCCAAAGUUAUCUAAAUCACUUUCCACAGUCUUCAUUUGUGAUCUGUACCUUCUGCGACUGUGCGUAAGAGUUUUCACAUGUAGUUUUGUUUGCAUUUCAGUCAGUCUUGGGUGGAGAAUAAUAAUUGUCCUUUUAUAGAUACAUUUUGAUUUGUGCAACCUAAGGAUGUAGGCACGUUCCUUGCAAUUGUGAAAGUGGUCACUUGAAUGCUUGAACCUUGGGCAUCCUGGCUACUUAGGGUUGCCAUAGGAGGCUUGUCCAGGGGAGUAAGGUAAGUGGUUAGGAGCACCCUGGGGUGGUUAUCAUUCCAUCCUGCCAUACGGUGGUUGUAGUCCCUAUAAAAAUGAGUGUAGUGCAGGAGUGGCCAUGUAUUACUUAUUUACUACCCUACCUUUCGCCCAGUGCAGUGCAGGACCCAGGUUGGUUCACAGCAUACAUUAGAACAGAUGCAACUGUUCCCAAAACAAACUGUCAGCUAGUAGAUCUGUUGUGACAAGGAAUUUCUGUUCUUUCUAGCUAUAAUUCCCACCAUCCCUGACCACCAGCCAUGCUGGCUAAGUCAGAUAGGAGUUGGCAGUCCAACCAACAACACAGGUUAGCCCUUCUUGGAGCAGUGAGACCUUUACUGAAUAAUUUUUCUCUGCAUUGCUGCUGCUGCUGAUCCAGCUUCAUUUACCAAGAUUAAAAUUGUACAUAUUCUUCAUCCAUUUAUUAUGGAGAGAUGACCUGGCAAACAAACAAGCAAAUUCAAAGGCAUGCUUUUCUAGGCUUUCUGCGCCCAUGCUGAAAUGUUUAACAGAAGCGUCUUAAUUUGGAGUGUUGAUCUUGGGCUGCUGUAUUUCUGCUCUGCUUUCCAUCUUGUGCAUGCCCAGUUUUAGAAAGGACUGCCGUUUUCCACGCACAUUCUGGUGUGCUGCUGUUGUGUAACAACAUAUAGUAUGUAGAAGAAAACACCCUUCUUAUUAUAGCACUGUUGAGAGGCCUUCCAGUAUUUCCAUUUGAAAUUCCUAUUUUCAGGGACUUGCUACUGAGCUGUAACAAAUUGCAAGCAGGAAAUCUGGCUCUCUGCAGCCUAGGAGCAAACUAACUCACUCACAAUAGAUAAAAUUAAUCUGUAUUAAUGGCAUGUCCUUCCAGCAACCAAAGCAAAGGAGUCUGUGUGUGUGUGUGUGUCCCCGUCUAUCUAUCUCACGUACACAUAACAAACAGCGAAAGAAUAAGAAAAGGAAGUGCUUUAUGUGGCUGUGCACAAAUGUAUGGAGGAUGGGAAACAGGCCAAGCAGAUUGCUUCUGAACGAAGGAGGUUAUUAUUUAUCCUUUGGGUAUGACUGAAACAGGGCAAAAUGCUCCUUGUAGCAAAGAUAUUGGUAUCUAUGAGCAUUAAUCAAUAGAGAGGUGACACUAAAGAGAAGCAAGAAAAGUGUACAGUGGUACCUCGGAUUAAGUACUUAAUUUGUUCUGGAGGUCUGUUCUUAACCUGAAACUGUUCUUAACCUGAAGCACCACUUUAGCUAAUGGGGCCUCCUGCUGCCACCGCGCCGCUGGAGCACGAUUUCUGUUCUCAUCCUGAAGCAAAGUUCUUAACCUGAGGUUCUAUUUCUGGGUUAGCAGAGUCUGUAACCUGAAGCGUAUGUAACCUGAAGCAUAUGUAACCCGAGGUACCACUGUAUCUGUGUUUCAAAUGUAUUUCUGCUGCUUGCAAGCAGCAUCUGACAAUGGAAAACUAGUAAAGGUACAAUUAUUUGAGAAAGGAUAAGAGAACUGGAGAGCAAAGGAGAAACAUCUGUUGGGGAUCAUUGUGGAUGAGGAAGCUCUGGAUCCCCAUAAUCCCAAUCAUGUUUGUGCAGGGCAUUUUUUUAAAACCCCAUCUGCACAGGAAUACAUAAGUGGGAUCAAGAUAUCGAAUUCUUAAAGAGUACUUGGACCUUGCCAGAGAAAGACCAGCAUAUACGCAGUGGGAAUGUUUCCUUUACUAAAACAGGAAGGUAGGGAGCUACAAAGCCAGGCCAUGUGACCGCGUAGCUCAGUAUUGGUCCACAGUGACUCUCCAUAUUUCAACCAGGGGGCCUUCCUAACCCUACCUGAAGAUGCUAAAGGACUGAGAUGCUCUAUCACUGAGCUAUGGCCUUUAAAGUAAGGUGGUUGAUGGAUAUGAGUUACUGCUACUCAUGUUGUGGUACAGCUUGCCACUCCCAUGUCUUUCAGUCUUUGGGCUCUGAUAUGAGGAGCAAUAGUCCUCAACAAACAUUUUAAUUCUGCUAUAGAUAGAGAGGCAACCAGAUAAGAUGGCAAUUCUGCAUUCAAAGCUUGCUUUGAGUGAAUGGGAAGUUGAUCCUGCUAACUGGAAAAAGAUUUGAAUCAGUCCCAGGCUGAGAGUGACAGAAAAUAAGAGAAGUUGUCAGAGGGACUGUGAACUGUGAGCUUUGCAGUGUGUCAUGCGCUAACUGCAGCUUACUGGAAAGAAAAUUAAGAGGAAGUAUAAUGUGCAUGUAAUGUGAAAGGUCAUGGAGGAAAAUGUGUUCAUUUUGCAGUCAGAUAAUAAUGCGAAACCUAGAAAAUAUAAAACCUAGAAAAUAUAAAAAAGAAGAGGAGUGAAAUAUGUUUGAAUUAAAAUCAAGCAUUGAAUGUUUUCAAAAAAAAUACUAGAAAAUGUAAACUGGUACAGCCAGAAGUUAUUUAAUAGUGAUAGGAAACCUGUCCCAAGACACAGUGUUUUGAGAACGUAGUGUAAGAAAAGAAAUGUAAAGGUAAACAGCAACAUGACCUUGACAAGGGAUAUGCAUUAAGAUAAUAAGAACAGUGAAGGCUUUGUUUUGCAUUUUCAUUAUUGAUUGAAAAAACAAUGAAAUGUGGGGAUUGUGCCAGAUUGUGCGAGGAUUUGAAAGGCCAGUGAAAAUUUAACCAAAGGACCCACAAGUGAAGGCAAAGACAAUGCAAAAAGACAUGCUACUUUGGUACACUAGCAGGCUGAUUAUACAAUCAGCCUUUGAAGAAUAAACCCUCUGAACAGUCCAAGCAGUCAGUGCAAUACAUGAUUCUGUGAAGUGAAUCAAUGCUGCAGAAUUUAUCACAUAAAAACAUGGAUCCGAGUAUGGUCAUUACAGCAGCUACCCUCAAGUUUUCAAGUGAAGACUGACUGGGCCACAUUAACUAUUUUGGGCAUGGCUCCCUCUAUUCUUGCACCAGCCCACACAUCCAGUGUUCCAGAGUGAUGGGGACUAUAGUUGCAUGACUCUAUCCCAGUUCAUCCCAUCCCAUUUAAGUCUGCAAGCACUUAGAAAUAUAUUGCACCCAGUGGCGGAGCUUCAUACUCUGGCACCAGGGGGCGGAGAGCAGGCGGGGGCGGGGCUGGCGUGUGCCCUGGGGGCGGGGCAUGCCACCUGCAGGGGGUGGCGCCCAGUGCAGGCGGGGGGGGCAGCCCUGAUGUCACCCUACUGGGAUUGCGCUGCCAGGGACGGUGCGCUGCCAGGGACGCACUCCUCUUCCUCUGCCAGUGGUUGCAUCUUGUUCCUGUACUGAAUUUUUAGGAUAAUUCCAAGAGAAACAAUAUAUUUGGAGAUGCAAGCAGGAAUUAUUUUUUUUUUAAGUGGUUGCUGCAUUCUGGUUGUAUCACUACCCAUGAUACUUCAGGUAAGUCCUAAGACAGAGUUUUAUGAAAUAUUAGAUUGAAAGUUAGUCUAAAUUCUUCAGUAACAUAACUAGCUUUUCCUUUGCGAUAUUCUGUCAAAAAUGACAUUAUAAUGAUGGAAGUAAUUAUACUUCAUCUUCCUCACCAUCUGGGUAUCAAAACUUCCUAAAUAAAUGUAUAAACCUGGAUCUGUGGUGCCUGUUCUUAUUGCAUCAUAAAGGCUGGAAUGAUGAAGGAACGUAAAAUAUUGGAGACAGUAUGGGGAAAUUGUCUGUUAAUGGCAGUUGGAGAAGAAACAGACAAUAAAGAUGUAGAGGGGCCUGAGGCAGAAGAAAGAAGAAAAGUCCUGGUGCAUGACAUCAGAAAAUAGAGGAAGUGUGAACUAAACAACAGGAAUGGCUAAUACAGGUCUAUGUAUAGAGAUUCAAAAGCAGUUAAUUGGCAUCAUGUAUGUGGUUGCUUUAGGGAUGAGAAAUCUGUGUUUUGAUUGUUGUCUUUUUACUCUCAUUUAUUGUUAAUGGGUUUUGUUAUUUGUUGUUUUAUUUAAAACUUACAAGAUAAAUAUCCCACAUAUUCACUGAACUCCAGUGUUGUUUUCACCUUGUCUCAUCCUCAUCCAUAGUAACAAAACAACAAACACCCACCUACCUGUGUGCACUACAGAUUAAUCUAAUUAUUGAUUUAUGUGCAUAAGGAUGUCAGGGAAAGCCUUAUGUGGUGCUCAAUGUGUAGUUCUGGUGGCAAAAAUAUAUCCAUAACACAAAAUGAGUACAAAAUUUAAAAGAAUCCCUUUUUAAGGAAGGCUUCUACUUGGCAAGGAGGGGAGUAAUCUUGGGGGGGGGGGAUGCAAUUGGGGCUACUUAAAUGUAACAUUGUUUAUGUGUGCAGGUGAAACAAACCAUGAACCCUGGUUUAGCAAUAUGUCUGAAUAGGAUUCCAUGGUUUGGAGUAACACAAACAAAGCAGGAUCUGUAUAGUCAAGGUUUGUUCUUGGCUUAAAGAUUGUGGGUGUUUUUUAAAGUGAAACAGCCAUGAUCCUUAAAGGUAAAGGUAAAGGGACCCCUGACCAUUAGGUCCAGUCACAGACGACUCUGGGGUUGCGGCGCUCAUCUCGCUUUAUUGGCUGAGGGAGCCGGCGUACAGCUUCCGGGUCAUGUGGCCAGUAUCACUAAGCCGCUUCUGGCGAACCAGAGCAGCUCACGGAAACGCCGUUUACCUUCCCACCGGAGCGGUACCUAUUUAUCUACUUGCUCUGGCAUGCUUUCGAACUGCUAGGUUGGCAGGAGCAGGGACUGAGCAACGGGAGCUCACCCCGUCGUGGGGAUUUGAACCACCAACCUUCUGAUCGGCAAGCCUUAGGCUCUGUGGUUUAACCCACAGUGCCACCUGCGUCCCGCCAUGAUCCUUAGGUUGGCCUUAAUGCUAAGACAAGGAUACUGGUUUGUUUUUUCUCCCCACGUUAGUCGGGAUGGUCAAAGGGGCCUCAGUCAGUGCAUUCAUUAUAAACCAUUAAGUAUGGUUUAUAGUGUGGUGCAAACGAGACCAAUAAUAAAAACACACUUUUUUCCAUUGGUAAAGAAAAUCCGCUGCUGAAAAAAGAGAAACAAAUAAAAUGUGAUCUUAAAUGGAACAAGCCACCAUUCAUCACUCAAAGGCAUUUGUUUUUCAUUUCAGAUUUGUUAACUAGUUGUAAAAACUACAAAAGGGGAAUUUAUCCAUACGCACCUUUCAUGGUGAUGGUGUUUGAGUCAGGCUGAAUUAGAUUGAUGGUGAAAUUGUGUGCAGCAGGCAUAUUUACUUGGAAGUAAGCCUUACUAUUUACAAUGGCCAUUUGUUUCCUCAGUGCCACGUGUCAAUGUACGAAAGAGUUUCGUGGAAACUCCGGAUUCCACCACUCCCCAUUCAAAAUAUUGAGGCGAAGGAACUCGUGGUGAAUGAGAUGCAGCGCCAGAAAGGUGGAAUGGUGAGAACAAGAACGUGCAUGGAAGGACCUGGCAUUGGAAUUUAAGGAAGGUGUUGAAGUUGGUAGGUAAUGAGAGAGUGUUGAUUGGUCUGCCUCAGGAGAUAGUAAUAGAAAAAGCAGUGACCACCGCAGUUUGGUGAUGAUGUUGAGCCUCUCUCCCAACACUGCUGCUGUUUACCAGGACAGUACGGGGGCAGGGCAAGGCAGAGUUGGGCAACCAGAGUGACGGGAGUGCCAGAUUACCUCAAAUGAUGUGGCUGCAUGGCCCAAUUUCACCACCACUCUACACUACCCUAGUAAGUGGCAGUCAUGCUCAUGUCACACUGCUUCAUGGCAUCAGCCACUCUUGAAUGGAAUUGUACAGCCCAUGUGUGACCCACUAUUCUCCCUGCUCUAUCACCAUCUACAACCUCUGGUAUGUCUGUAGUAAUGCAGGGGGGUGUAUCAAAUGGGGAAGGGCAAGAAAGCUUCCAUUUAUAGUAAGGUUAAUAGUCAAAAGCAUGGAGAAAAGCAGGGACUUGAUGGCAAGAGAAGGGUUGUACUAUUAUCCCUCAACACUAUCAACUCAGUGACGUUUGACCAAUAGAUAACUUUUAACUUGCGAGGAACCCUUGACUUCGCUAGCAAACACCCCUGGAUCUUCAGAGAUAUUUCACAUCCCACAGCAGUCGGUGGAGUAGGGUGGUGGCACUUAUAACUGUCCCCUCCAACCUCCCUGCAAAUUGAAAUUGUUUGUUAGAAGCUGCUUUGGAUUCACUGUGGAAAGGUGGCAUAUAAAUAAAUGAAACCAAUCUAUCAGUAAAGUUGCCACUCGACUCUGAGGUAAUUUCUCAUACCCUGUGUUUGAAGAGGUUAUUAAGGAUGUGGGAAGUGGGGAUGAAGAGAACCUUAUAAAUUCUGUGGCAUCUUCUAUGUCUGAGGUACCCAAUUGCUUGCCUCAGUUAUUUGCUAACACACAUUCUCAGGCAGGAAGAGGCUUAAUUGUUAUAAUAUACAAUUUCCAUCCUAUUGUUCUGAAUCUACAGCGCCACUUCCAGCAGAAGGGACUCAGUUUGACAGGCUGAGCUACAUCUAGCCUAUUCAUAGAUCUGCUAUGUGAUGUGUGUGUGUGAAAUCUAGCAACCACAGACUGUCUCUCUGCUUCCUUUCAGAUUGCAUAACGCAGCAUCAGAAUCACUAGAACUUAUGUUGUUUGGUUUUCCGAGAAAGGCCACAAACUCAGUGCCAAGCUGCUACAUGCCAGCUUGGAGGUGACUUGUUCAAGGGAAAGGUAUGGCAGAUAUACCACUACCAUAAUUCAAUGCAAGGCAGCACAAUUUGACUUGAAAAGCCGCCUAGAAAUUAGAAAGAAAGAAAAUCUUCUCACAUUAGGAAGCAAGCAGAAGCACUGGGCCAUAUUCAACUACCUCAUUCUAGCAGAAGCCAGUGCAAGGUUUUCUGCUAGUGCAAUGGAACUUCUUCCCUGUAUGUACCUCAUGACCUCCCCCAAACUGCUCUGGUGGAUUGGGAGUAUCCCAGAAUGGC